CCUACGGGAGUCAGCAGUGGGGAAUAUUGGACAAUGGGGGGAACCCUGAUCCAGCGACGCCGCGUGAGUGAAGAAGUAUUUCGGUAUGUAAAGCUCUAUCAGCCGGGAAGAAAAUUACGGUACCUGACUAAGACUCCCCGGCUAACUACGUGCCAGCAGCCGCGGUAAUACGUAGGGGGCAAGCGUUAUCCGGAUUUAUUGGGUUUAAUGGGUUCGUAGGCGGGCAUUUAAGCCGGCGGUAAACUGUUGGGGCUCAACCCCGGCGUGCCGUCGGAACUGGGUGCCUUGAGUGGGCGAGAAGUAUGCGGAAUGCGUGGUGUAGCGGUGAAAUGCAUAGAUAUCACGCAGAACCCCGAUUGCGAAGGCAGCAUACCGGAGCCCUACUGACGCUGAGGCACGAAAGCGUGGGUAUCGAACAGGAUUAGAUACCCUAGUAGUC
rnacentral:rRNA from 1 species